AACGAACGCUGGCGGCAGGCUUAACACAUGCAAGUCGAGCGGAGUGAUGGUGCUUGCACUAUCACUUAGCGGCGGACGGGUGAGUAAUGCUUAGGAAUCUGCCUAUUAGUGGGGGACAACAUCUCGAAAGGGAUGCUAAUACCGCAUACGUCCUACGGGAGAAAGCAGGGGAUCACUUGUGACCUUGCGCUAAUAGAUGAGCCUAAGUCGGAUUAGCUAGUUGGUGGGGUAAAGGCCUACCAAGGCGACGAUCUGUAGCGGGUCUGAGAGGAUGAUCCGCCACACUGGGACUGAGACACGGCCCAGACUCCUACGGGAGGCAGCAGUGGGGAAUAUUGGACAAUGGGGGGAACCCUGAUCCAGCCAUGCCGCGUGUGUGAAGAAGGCCUUAUGGUUGUAAAGCACUUUAAGCGAGGAGGAGGCUUACCUAGUUAAUACCUGGGAUAAGUGGACGUUACUCGCAGAAUAAGCACCGGCUAACUCUGUGCCAGCCGCCGCCGUAA
rnacentral:rRNA from 1 species